rnacentral:rRNA from 1 species
UACGGAGGGUGCGAGCGUUAAUCGGAAUUACUGGGCGUAAAGCGUGCGCAGGCGGCUUUGCAUGUCAGAUGUGAAAUCCCCGGGCUUAACCUGGGAACUGCAUUUGUGACUGCAUGGCUGGAGUGCGGCAGAGGGGGAUGGAAUUCCGCGUGUAGCAGUGAAAUGCGUAGAUAUGCGGAGGAACACCGAUGGCGAAGGCAAUCCCCUGGGCCUGCACUGACGCUCAUGCACGAAAGCGUGGGGAGCAAACAGG